GAUGAACGCUAGCGGCAGGCCUAACACAUGCAAGUCGAGGGGUAGAGGAAGCUUGCUUCCUUGAGACCGGCGCACGGGUGCGUAACGCGUAUGCAAUCUACCUUGUACUGAGGGAUAGCCCAGAGAAAUUUGGAUUAAUACCUCAUAGCAUUAUGAAAUCGCAUGGUUUUAUAAUUAAAGUUCCAACGGUACAAGAUGAGCAUGCGUCCCAUUAGUUAGUUGGUAAGAUAACGGCUUACCAAGACAAUGAUGGGUAGGGGUCCUGAGAGGGAGAUCCCCCACACUGGUACUGAGACACGGACCAGACUCCUACGGGAGGCAGCAGUGAGGAAUAUUGGUCAAUGGACGCAAGUCUGAACCAGCCAUGCCGCGUGCAGGAUGAAGCAUCUAUGGUGUGUAAGCUGCCUUUAUACGGGAAGAAACACUCCUACGUGUAGGAACUUGACGGUACCGUAAGAAUAAGGAUCGGCUAACUCCGUGCCAGCAGCCGCGGUAAAAC
rnacentral:rRNA from 1 species